GGGGAGGUGGCUCAGCAGUUCAGAGUACUGGUUGUUCUCCCCAGAGCACCUGGGUUCAAUUCCCAGCACCCA
rnacentral:tRNA from 1 species